rnacentral:rRNA from 1 species
UUUUUGGAGAGUUUGAUCCUGGCUCAGGACGAACGCUGGCGGCGUGCUUAACACAUGCAAGUCGAACGGGCACUUCGGUGCUAGUGGCGAACGGGUGAGUAAAGCGCAGGUAAUCUGCCGCAAAGACGGGGACAACGUUCCGAAAGGGACGCUAAUACCGGAUGUUAUGUAGAGUUCGCAUGAACUUUACAUUAAAGAUUUAUCGCUUUGCGAGGAGCCUGCGUCCGAUUAGGUAGUUGGUGGGGUAAGAGCCUACCAAGCCGACGAUCGGUAGCCGGUCUGAGAGGAUGAACGGCCACAAUGGAACUGAGACACGGUCCAUACUCCUACGGGAGGCAGCAGUGGGGAAUAUUCCACAAUGGGCGGAAGCCUGAUGGAGCGACGCCGCGUGAGUGA